rnacentral:rRNA from 1 species
UUGAACGCUGGCGGCAUGCCUUACACAUGCAAGUCGAACGGUAGAGGGGCAACCCUUGAGAGUGGCGAACGGGUGAGUAAUGCAUCGGAACGUGCCCAGUCGUGGGGGAUAACGCAGCGAAAGCUGUGCUAAUACCGCAUGUGAUCUGUGGAUGAAAGCAGGGGACCGCAAGGCCUUGUGCGAUUGGAGCGGCCGAUGUCAGAUUAGCUAGUUGGUAGGGUAAAGGCCUACCAAGGCGACGAUCUGUAGCUG